rnacentral:lncRNA from 1 species
CCGGAGUGGAACUUAGCUCACUCCUACCCGUUCCUGAGCUUAGCAUUCAGAGCUUUUUCUCAGGUCUUAAACGUAAGUAAAAAAUUUGUGUUAUUGUCUGUUGUUUUCUAGAGUGUUACUCCCCUUCAUGCGAUGUAUGUUGUUGCAUAAUACAUACAUGUGUCCGAGUUAAGGACUAGCCAGCAGCUCUAUCUGACUGAAGGUUUCCAGCGCUGUCAGGCUAUGUGUAGGAAAGUUUUUCCUGAUCUGGAUUUCUACCAGGUACCCUACACUGAAGACGAGCUUGCUGAUCGCCUCCUUUCCGACUGGACUCCUUCUCGACCGUGUAUUGAAGUUCCGACGUCUUCCUCUGCAAUGUGAUCCUUGUCGUUUUUUUAAGGGUUUUUUUGUAUUGGAGGUCCCUCCUCCUUUUUGUUAUUACUCUGUUUAAGACUAGACUUUUGUGUGCCCCCUGGGCUUUAUUUUGUCGGAUGCUGCCCUUCUCUAAUCUCUUCUAUAUUCUCUUGCUCUAUUAGAAUAGCUUCUUCAUUUUCUUCAGCGUUAAAAUAUUUGAUUCUUGUUGUUGGCCAUACUAGUUCGACCGGGGCCACUGCUUCUAAUCCAAAUGCCAAGGUGUAGGGGGUUUGUUCGGUAGAUGUUUUGUAUAUAGUUAUGUAUGCCCAUAGGAUUUCGGGAAUUAUAUCUGCCCAGGUUUUGGGAUUGUUACCUUUCUUUCUUUUUAAGAUAUUUAUAAUUAUUUUGUUCACAGCUUCCACCUGCCCAUUUGACUGUGGAUGAUGAACUGAUGCAAAACUCAGCUUAAUAUUGCUAUCCUUGCAGAAAUUUUUUAUUGCUUUUCCUGUUAAUUGUAUGCCAUUAUUAGUGAUUAUUUGGAUUGGUACACCAAAUUUGCAUACUAUAUUUCUAAACACGAAUUUGACAGCAUUUUCUUGAGUGAUGGAUUUUACUGGUUCUGCUUCUGCCCAUUUCGUGAAAUAUUCUACUGUCACAAAGGCAAAUUUUCUUCCCCCGCUAGCCAACGAGAAUGGGCCAAUGAUAUCUAAUCCCCAUCUUGCGAAGGGGACGGGUGUGAUAUAUGGAGUUAACUUUACUGAUGGGCAGUGUUGUAAAUUUGCGUGCUUCUGGUAGUCUCAACAAUUUCUUGUUAUAUUUUUGGUAUCCCCCUUAAUGGUUGGCCAAAAAUAACCUUGCCUUGACACUUGUUGAUAUAAUUUCUUGCUUCCUUGGUGGUCUCCUCCUCCGCCACUGUGGAUGCUUUCUACUAUUUUUCUUCCUUCUUCUAUCGUUACGCAAGUGGGUAAAGGGAAUGUACCUGUCUUUGUUUCUCUCUAAUAUAAUUCUCCAUUCUGCAUUGCGUAGUGUGCUGCCUGAUUUUUUAUUCUUCUAGCUUCAAGGUUGUCUGUUGGCGUAUCUGCGCUGAGGAUGAAAUUUCUUAUCGGGGUCCUCCAAUCAUUUGUUGUGGUUGUUAUUUCUAAAUUCUCCUGGCUUCUUUGUAUGGAGGAGUGUGGUAGGGUUCUUACCUGUACCCAUUUAUCUUCCUUUGUGUUUUUGUCGCGCCUAAUUUUGCUAAGGCAUCUGCUUCUUCUAUAUAUUCUCUUUUUACCAUAUUUAUUUUAAUCUAGUUGAAUUCCUUCAUUGCAAGUUCCUUGUAAUCUUUUAAACUUUGGUCUUUAACUUCGUAGGCUCCUUUGAUUUGAUUUGCUACCAACUGAGAAUCUGUAUAUAUCUAUAAGGCUUUGAUUCCUAGAUCUUUUGCUAGCUCUAGUCCUGUUAUUAAAGCUUCGUAUUUCACAACAUUAUUUAUUGUUUGGAAUUCAAGUGAAUUGCGUGUUCUAGUUGUAGCCCUUCUUCAUUUUUUAAUAUAAUGCCUGCUCCGCAACCUGCUUUUCCAACCGACCCAU